GCUGUGAGAUAACACUGCUCAUACCAUAAACACAGCUUCAUGCAAUGCUGAUCAUGUAAUGUUUUAUCAUAAAAUAAGGCAAUGUUUUCAAUCAUGCACUGUUAAUGAAACAAGACGGACACAAAGAGAUACAAUGUAUUAUGUAUAGCAACAUUAAUAGGCUAUAACUACUUUUUAAAUAGAUAAAGCUAAAAUGAUACCUGGUGCAUAAGUCAAAACUUAUGAACUGAUUUUUAAAAUAACAUCCAUGAAAAAUAAAAUUGUGUCAUUGAUCCAGGAAAUUAGAAGGCAGCCAUUCUUAGUAGCAGCUACUUCACCAUUGUAAAAGUAUUGCACCAUGGUAUAAACAGACAGGGCAUUAGAUUACCUGGUAGCUUAUUUUUGGAUGUCAGUCUAAUUAGAUUGUUUUGGAUUUAUCCCUACCAGAUACAUGUAUAAUGCACAAUGAAUGCAGUGAAAUAAAUAACUUAAUGUCAAUUUCUAUUAUCCUUCUCAUGAUAAGAAAAAGUAUUUAUGAUAAUUGAGAAUCAACAUCUAUAAUGUAAAAACAAAUAAAAACUUCUGUGUUAUCA
rnacentral:misc_RNA from 1 species